rnacentral:rRNA from 1 species
CANCCUCCUGGGAUAACACUGACGUUCAUGCCCGAAAGCGUGGGUAGCAAACAGGAUUAGAUACCCUGGUAGUCCACGCCCUAAACGAUGUCGAUUAGCUGUUGGGCAGCAUGACUGCUUAGUAGCGAAGCUAACGCGUGAAAUCGACCGCCUGGGGAGUACGGUCGCAAGAUUAAAACUCAAAGGAAUUGACGGGGACCCGCACAAGCGGUGGAUGAUGUGGAUUAAUUCGAUGCAACGCGAAGAACCUUACCUGGUCUUGACAUGUACGGAAUCCUCCAGAGACGAAGGAGUGCCUUCGGGAGCCGUAACACAGGUGCUGCAUGGCUGUCGUCAGCUCGUGUCGUGAGAUGUUGGGUUAAGUCCCGCAACGAGCGCAACCCUUGUCAUUAGUUGCCAUCAUUAAGUUGGGCACUCUAAUGAGACUGCCGGUGACAAGCCGGAGGAAGGUGGGGAUGACGUCAAGUCCUCAUGGCCCUUAUGACCAGGGCUUCACACGUCAUACAAUGGUCGGUACAGAGGGUAGCCAAGCCGCGAGGCGGAGCCAAUCUCACAAAACCGAUCGUAGUCCGGAUUGCACUCUGCAACUCGAGUGCAUGAAGUCGGAAUCGCUAGUAAUCGCAGGUCAGCAUACUGCGGUGAAUACGUUCCCGGGUCUUGUACACACCGCCC